rnacentral:lncRNA from 1 species
AAGCUUCUUAACUCUAGCACUACAGUACUCUCCUCUCAAUUUGGCAUGAAGCGAGGCCACAUCACUCGAUUUAUUGAUAGGUCACUCGCUUGUGGAAUUGCCAUGCCCCCUUCUUCUGCUCUCCCAUUGAGGAAAAGAACCACGUCUUCUCUCUCCAAAAAUGUUGAUGCUAGUGAAGCCAUGUCCAGUAAUUUUCCAGGAAGAACACAGAGUACUGUCUCCAUGAACCAGGAUUCGAAGUCCCAAUAUACGGUUUCAGCUUCUUUUGGGGUCAAAGGGGAGCGUACUUUUAAAGGGGUCGUUGCUUUUGCACCUGCUGAGCCUAGGUGUUGUGGGCUUGUACAACCUCCUCCUGAACUUGAUAAUGUUGCUCCAUAUUCCAUGUUAGAGAGCAUUUCAAUUCAGAAACUGACCCCCGAGUAUAAGAUGGGUAUGGAGCCAUUGGUGAAAUUGAAGGCCCCACCCAUGAAGGCUUCAGAGCUCUGGCAUGAUAUACCAACAGUAUUGCUUUGUCUCAGACGCCCUGGGUAAUGCAUUAUUGGUUGUUUUCUCUGAUCAUGUUUUCUUUGAAAGCAAUAUUUCUGUAGGAAUUUAGACUAUACACUAUGUGUAUAGUGUGUUUAGUAUAAGCUUAUCACCACGUCCAUCCUCUGUGAAAGACAGUUGAGAUGAAACUUCCUUAGUGGGUGAGGCUAUACUACAAACACUGUGGAAAGUGUUUACAGUAUACUUUCCCUCUUUCCUUAUUUUUCAUUUUUCAGUUUCAAGCUGUCUUGCUUGUCCAUUAACAACUGGUUUUGGUCUCAGAUAUAAAAAGGAUGAGUAACUCGUUUCAACAAUCUUGUUUUUUUCCUUGUUAUUACAUGAUUAAUUGGGUGGCCAUUCACAAGUUAUUUCUAUCAUGCAUGUGCCCAUUUUCCCCUUAGCAUUGCCAUGUGCACGUCGUAAAUGUAUAUAUCGAAAUCAAGUUUUAUUCUAGAAACUUGUCAAAAAUUCCCAGCUUGUCUACGUCAAGCGUAUCCCUGUCAUUUACUAGUUUGAGGGUUAUAGACUAUAGUAAUGCUUCUCCAAUUAAUGAGAAGAAAUUUUGUUCACCAUGUCGUACAGGAAACAAUAAAUAGCUCGUCUAAUUCAUGUAAAUCCUAAUAAAAGUACUGUACUAUAAGUGGGUGGCAGCAUUGCUUGUAUCAUAUUCUUGAUUGAGGAAUAAUUAAGGAAUAAUGGUGGGUGCAUUAGUCGAAUUUGAAGAUAGUACAAUAGGCAUUGCUUCAAAUUUGGAAUCCAAUAAUAUUGAUGUUGUACUUUUGGGUGAUGGCUUAAUGAUACAAGUGGGCGUUUCUGUAAAAGCAACAAAAAUAAUUGCUCAAUACCAGUGAGUGAGGCUUUCAAUCAUUUUAAGCAAGGAACCGCUGAACUCAUUCAUCUGCCAUUUUUACUCUUAAGUUUUUUGUAAAGGUUUAUCCCAUAGAGGCACUCAAAUUGGAGCAGUGAUCGGUUUGUUGUUUUCAUCGUAAUUACUUCCAAUACGGAAAUCAAUGGUUCAAACUUCACUCAAAGGAAGAGCACUGUUAUCUCCAAUGCAACUCUGGAAAAGUGAACAUCAUAAUGAGAUUUAUCUUGAUAAUUUUUCUAAAUCUUUUUAAGACGAUCAAGAAUUAUUCACAUCACAUAAAGCAUUAACUUUUUAAAAGAAAUGACUAUAGUUAUUCUAUGUUAUAGUCAAUUCUAUUUUUGCCUUGGAAUUCUCAAGGAUUUUGCAUUAUUGGAUUGUUGAUUAGUUUCAAAUUGCCAAGUCAGGGAUUUAUUCACCCGCUAUAUUUUAGCCAACCAAAUAUCAACUAAUCUCAACUUAUAGAGUUUUUUUUUAAUUAAUUACUCAUGUUACAUAUCAAUGUUUCAGAUGUGUCAUGUGUAGAGCUGAAGCUCACCAGCUUUAUGCUAGGAAACCAAUAUUCGAUGCACUGGGUUUCCGGCUGAUUGCUGCUUUCCAUGAGCAAAUUGACUCAGAGGUACUCUGUGGCACUAUGGUUACCCCUCUCUUUGAUGAAUUGAGUUGAACUCGGGUUUGCAUAUUGAUUUUCCUGCCAUCUCAGGUGAACAAUUUUUGGCCUCGCUACUGGGGUGGGAUUGUAGUCUUGGACAAAAGCAUGGGUUUCUUCAAAGCUCUUGGAGGUGGUAAGCUGCUGAAAGACCAGUUUGUGACUGGAUUUCUUUGCAAUCCUCGUGCCAUUGCAAAUUAUAGGCGUGCUAAAGCUAUGGGUGUGGAGAAUAAUUUUAAUGGAAAAGGAGAAAUCAAAGGUGGGUUAUUCAUAAUUGAUAGUGGGAAAAGUGGAAUAGCAUAUCAGUUUAUGGAAAGAAAUUUCGGGGAUUGGGCACCCAUCAAUGAAGUUCUUGAGAUUUGCAGCAGAAUGCAGGUAUAGACUGCUUGCUUUUGCUGAAUGGAUUUCUUCUACUUGUCCUUGUGCUUAUGGAGAAAUUCUUUAAUGUUUCUUGGUUUUCUGGUUUUAGUACUCCUUGAGUAGAAUCAGGAUUAUUACCUAGAUAAAAUCUUCAGUAGAUGGGAUUUGUUUGAUAUAUUGUUUUGCUGCUUUUAUAUGGAACUAGUGUUCUUCCCAUUGGCUUCAAAUUAUAUGAAAUGAGUGACAUCUUUCCUAAGAUUUAUGCUACCUUACGGUUCUUAUUUAAUGAAUUUUCAAUGACCAAGCUACCUUGGCGCUCCACUCAAGACUAGAUACGAUCUUUUGGAUUGGUCGCCGUAGAAUCCUCGUUGACGAUUUUAGCAGAAUUACCCAUGAUACCUGUAAUUUCCUUCUUUGGUAAUAUUGUCAAGAACAUGUUUAUCUUUUGCUGUGUGUAUAGAAGAUUUUUUGAGGAUGCUAACAAAUUUGAAGGAGUUUUACAUCACGUGAAUUUUUUUGUGAGCUGCUACUUUUUGUGCUAUUGAGAUCCAAGCUACCAUUUUUACGCUUGAUUUGAGCUACAGGUCAGCAGAUCUGCAGCGAUGGUUGGGCCGACGCUGUCUCAACAUCCUUGUCUUUAUUUAUAAUAUUUGUAAACUUGGUAUUAAUUGUAUUAACAAUAAAUUUAGUGCUUCUAUAUUUCUUGUAAACUUUAUUAUAUAAGUAUAGCUUUAUAUUUUCAAGGAAAUGCAGACAAAAGAAAAAAAAUGAUUGAUGUUGGGAAAUAUAUUUCUUUGAAAAUGUUGCGAUAUUUUUGUUAAGUUUUGUGAUAAAUGAAAUAUUUGUCAUAUAAAUAAAAAAGAAACCAAUUGGCUGCUGCAGAGAUUGCAAUCGUCCUUGUUGAUGUUCAACUUUUUUUCAAUGCGUUGAUCUACAUAUUGAAAGGUUAUGUUUAUUGUCGACAUGCUAAGGAGUGUGAUUCCGAAACUUGGGUGUAAUAUGUGGUUUCGUCUAUAAUAUGUUGAUUUUAUUUUAUGCAGAAACAAGCAUCUGAUCAGGAAGCUGGACCCUAGAGGGACCUGAGGCAAAUCUGUAACCAAUACUUGUGUACAAUAUUCAAUUUGUUCUUUGUAAUUGAAUAAUUUUUCUUUUUUUAAGUUUUUGUUGUGCGUGUUUCUCUGAUAAAGCAUAGCGUGAUAAUAUGUAAAAUGGAUCUCACAUUAUUUGAUUGCCCAAAAACAUAUGAGUUCACAUGUAUCUCCACAUCCCUUUUAUUUACUGAAGACUUGCAGUGAAAUUCAACCUUCACGCUCAUAAUCUUGCAAGUAAGAGAGAGAGAGAGAGAGAGAGAGAGACUAUUUGAAUGAAAAGCUUAUAAGGAACUAGUUCAGAACGCGUUAUUUGAUUAAACAAUAGGACAAUAGGGCUUUAUACUUUUGUGUAAAUAAUUAUAAAAGGGAAGUGUUGAAAUGAAGAAGGUAUCUCAGGGACUGUUGAUGAGCAUUAAAUUAGAGAAGAAAACUAUCAAAGGCUUCGAAGUCGGGAGUAGAGUCUCUCUCUUGAAAAUGUUUGCAUAUAGUUUGUCUGCAAAAUGUUUUUUCCAGUACAUUACUUUUAAGAGCAAUAAAUCAAACAAAUCAGAAGCUUGUCAAAAACCCUUACGGUGCUUAUCAAGCUAAAUGUAUUUCACUUGGAUUCAUGAACAUUAACAAAUAAGAAUUGGUACUUCUAAUUAUCCACCAUGCUACACAAAUCACAGCCAUCCGAGUUAUGUUAUGCUUUAUAGAAAAGAUUCAUCUGCACUGUCAUAGUGCUCAAGAGAUCGAGAGAAGAAAACUUCGAAUUGAGAAAAUUAUUAAUUUCCAAAAUAAGUUAAUGAUACAUUAUUAUCUUUUUUAGGUAUAUGGCCAACACUUCAACACUACGAUACAGUGAAGAGAAUCACCAGAAAUCCCCAUAAGAACAUAGCCCUCCCUCAAACCGAUGAAAUCGAGCUGCAUCUCUCACUAGAAUUUCUCUCCUGGCUAUCUUGGAUAUGAACUGUAGCAGUGUGACACUCACCACCACUUUUAGGUUCUUCACAAUUCUAAUAGGCACGCCCUCAUGCAAAAAAUCAGCUCAAAAGCUAUUGCCAAUUUUUCACUAUGGUGGCCAUGCAUCUCCUCUUUCCUCUCAUCCUACAUUAUGGAGCACGGAGUUCAAUUCGGGAACAUAUCCCACAUCCUCCAUUCACUCCCUAAGCUUCUCCAGCUCUCUACAUAUCUGAUCAGAAGAUGGGUGAGUUCUAUCAUCAGCCAUAAAACAAUGAACUUGGUUCUUGUACUUGAUACAGCUAAAACCAGGCUCUUUUCUCACUUUUCUCUCUCUCAUGCCUCUUCUCACACUAGCCACUCUCUCCCGCUGUCCCAAUUUCGCAUAUAGACUUGAGAGGAGAAUAUAACAUGCAGGGUUAUUGGGCUCUAGCUUUAGAAGAGACUCCACAGCCCAUUUUCCAAGAGUGAGAUUUCCAUGGAGUCUGCAUGAGCUUAGAAGAGAAGCCCAACCAGUUGCAUCAGGUGGAAAUGGCAUCCUUUUAAUGAAUUCUCCAGCUUCUUUUAGCUUUCCAGCCCUUCCAAGAAGAUUAAUCAUACAAGUAUAGUGGUCAGAAGAAGGAGAGAUACCAUGGUCUUUGAUCAUGGAAUCAUAUUAUCGAAUUCCUAAUUCAACUAGGCCUUCUCUACUACAAGCUGAGAGAACAGCCAUGAAAGUUACACCAUCUGGUUUGAGAUUGGUACUUCACAUUUUUAUCGUAUAACUCUAUGGUUUCUUUAGCAUUUCCUUCUUGUGCAUAGCCUGAAACCAAACCGUCCAUGAAACUUGAUCUCUCACCACCAUUAGAUUGAACAUUUUUUUAACUUCUUCGAUGCUCCCGCACCUUGCAUGCAUAGUUACUAUGGCAUUGGCCACUGUGAGAAAGGAAUUCAAGCUUACGAUCACUGAUUUACAAUGAAAUUGAGAGCAUCCUUCCAUUGAGGCAAGACUACCAGAGGCACUAAUAACACUUCCUAGAGUGUAAUCAUCAGGUUCGAUCCCAUUUCUCUGUAAUUCACAAAACAAUCUCAUGGCUUCUUCAUUAUUUUGAGCAUAACCCACAAGAGAUGGCAGUCCAAGAUUUACAUUCUAUUGGGGAAUUUGAGUAAAAAUGGUUUCUGCACUUUUAAUAGCCCCAGACUUCGACUGCAUGUCCACUAGAGCACUACCAGCAAAGAGAUUAGACUGCUAAUUUGUUUUUAUGAUAUGGGCAUGGAUCUCUUUGCCUUGAUUUAAGGCCAUCAGAGCUCCAAAUGCAGUUAAAACACUCCCAAAAGUGAACUGACGGAAGCUGAAUUUGCAAAUUUAUCCCCCUAAAAAGCUCGAGAGCCUGUCCAGAGUGCCCAUUUUGCAUGUAUCCAGUGAUCAUAAAGGUUCAAGCAACCGAAUCUCUCUCUCUGGCAUUUUAUUGAAGACCCUCUUAGCUUCUUCGACUGUCCUACACUUGCAGUAGCUAGUAAUCGUGUUGUAUAACUCAUCUAAUACCCGCCUAGCCCCUUCCAGGUUAGAACAUCUUACAACAUAUCGAUCAAUGAACUGGUUACAACAGGAUUGGAUUCAAAGCCAAUUCUGAUAAUCUGGCCAUGAAUCAGAAAGAGAGAGAAGGUUAUCCUGUUGGGUGUUUGGUAAUUAUGUAACAUCUCUUGAAAAACGUUUAUGGGGGUUUUUCCAUCACCCCAAUUCGCAUAACCAGACAUUCCAAGAAACACUAUCGGCAUCAAUUUGAAGAGGUUUUCCAUCUCUCUAAGGAAAUCCCAUUUUGAAUAACCAGUUAUCAUGGAGUAAAAUGAAAUGAGAUUUUUGUGGGGCAUUCGGUCGAACACUCUUCGAGCAUAGCAUAAAUUGCAAGACUUUGCAUACAGGUUUAUGAGCUUGUCGGUUAAGAAAGUGCGUAUUUUCCAUGGUUUUGAGAAUGAGGCAAUGGGGCUUCUUGCCAUGGUGGGACUCAGAAGGGUCCAGAGGAGAGGCAGGCUGAGAGGUUGAUCGUGGAGAUUUGCAAAUAGGGCUGAGAAUUUACCCUAUCCGGAUUACGAUCUUAUUUGAAUUUGGGUAUGGAUCCAAAAUUUGGAUUUGGAUCCAAAAUUUAGAUCCAAAUAGUAUAUCAGAUUGAUCGGAUCCGGAUCCAGCCCACUUUUUAAAACAAUAUAUAUAUAUAUAUAGUUAUUAUUUUAUAUAAUAUAUACAAUUUUUUACACUUUUAAAAAGACCUAAUAUGGAUCUUAUGUACCCGGAUUGGAUCUAGAUCUUAUGUAUAGUUUUGGGAUGUGGAUCCGAGAAUUUCAUAAUCCUAUUGGUUUUGAAUAUGGAUCCCAUAUGUAUUUGGAUCCAGAUUGAGACCCGAUUAGAAAAAUUCUCAGCCCUAUUUGUAAGUUGGGUUUUUGAGGUGAGUAAAGGGAUGAUGUUGAUGGUGGAGUUGAUAGAGGGAUAUGAGGUUCUUUGCUGGUGGAGAGAUGCCAUUGUGAGGCAUCCUCUCUCUCCUUGAAUAUAAGCUUCACAACCGAAUGUUCUCAAAUGAACAUAUAAUACACUUUUAUCUCCUAAAGAAUUUAGGUAUUGCACCAUGGGUGCACUAAGAAAUCUAUUGAUUAAAUAUACAACUGUAUUAACAGCUUUAGCCAAAAAUUGCAUUCCAGGACCUGAUUGUGAAAGCAUGCUUCUUACACGUUCAAUAAUGAUCCUAUUCAUCCUCUCAAUAACAUUAUCAUGUUGUGGUGUUAUAGGAAUAGUCAUUGCUCUGCGAAUUCCAUUCUCUCUAAAAAAACAUCAAAAUCAUUUGAGCAAUAUUUACCAUUAUUAUCAGUUUGCAUACAUUUACUAAAUCUUUUGAUUUCUUUUUCAACCUCGUCGUUAAAAUUUUAAAAAAAUUUAAAACUGAACCUUUAGAUAUCAAAUGAUACAACCAACGCUUUCUAAAAUAAUCAUCUAAAAAAAUAAUAAUCACCUAAAAAGGUGAUAAAAUAAACUCCACUAAGAGAUUUCACAUCAACAAGGUCACAAACAUCAUAGUAUAUCAAUUCUAAGCUCUACUUUCUCUACAUGAUUUAUUUUUUUGAAAGCUAACUCUACAUUGCUUACCUGUGGCACAAUGAUCACAAAAAUCAAGAAAUGAAUGUUUAGAAAUAAGCAUAAGAUUUUGAUUUUAUAAUAUCUUCAUAUCAUACUCACUGAGAUGACCUAACGGUUUUGCCAACUCUGCAUAUUAUCAUGCUUNNNNNNNNNNNNNNNNNNNNUGUGGAUCCGAGAAUUUCAUAAUCCUAUUGGUUUUGAAUAUGGAUCCCAUAUGAAUUUGGAUCCAGAUUGAGACCCGAUUAGAAAAAUUCUCAGCCCUAUUUGUAAGUUGGGUUUUUGAGGAGAGUAAAGGAAUGAUGUUGAUGGUGGAGUUGAUAGAGGGAUAUGAGGUUCUUUGGUGGUGGAGAGAUGCCAUUGUGAGGCAUCCUCUCUCUCCUAAUAGAGACUGAGCUCUGUAGCCUAGAGGCAGCAAAUUCAAAUGGAAAGGGACAAGAAUUAGAACAUCUUUUAGUCGAGAUUUGAAGGUCAUGCACAGUAGGGUUUGAAAUUUGAAGGACAUACAAAGUAGGGUAACUCAUCUCCCUUUAGGUUUAUCAGCAUAAACUUGUACGUGCGCAUGCUUUACGCGUGUGUUUAAGAGCAUUGGGUGAGGUUCAUAUAAGGUACCGGGGUGGGCAUUAUUUUGAUAUAAUGCUUGCCAAUUUUAUGAUUCUAAUGCUUUUUAUACUUUUUUGGUAGGAUUGUAUGCUAUAAGACGAUUCGGUCUUUGUACAAGAUCAUAAUUAGUCAUAGCAAUUGGAUGUUGAAUCCGAUAUGUUGAAAUGCCUCAUAACUUUUUUAAAAAAAAUAUUUUAGAUUUUGAACCUAAUCAACAGCACAUCCCCAAUCACCUGAUUUCGCAUCUAAUGGUCAAUAAUGACUUUGACCUUUUUGUAUGAGUAGUAAAUGGUCUCAUUAAAUACACGUUUGUUUUGUAUGGUUGCCUAAAGUUUUUUAGUCUGGCUACAAGGAAUAUUUCUAUCAAAGGUCUUUCAACUUUAAUUUUUUAACUUAACAAAGAAGAUAUCUAGAAACCGAAAAGGACUUUGCUAUGCGUUAAACAUUUUGACCCUAGAAUAUGGUGAUGGGGUAGAAUAUGGUGAUGGUGAUGGACAAGUUCAUCCGACUAGAGACAAGGUUCAUCAUUAAAGGUCGAGUUAGGCUUCUGGUUUGGAGUAGUUCACCCAAAAACCAAGUUCGGCCCUUGAAAUGUCAUUGAAGGGUCGAAUUAGGCUUCUACGUCACGCUGAUCCGCCCAAACCAAAUUCAACUCUUAAAAAGUCGAACUAGGGCAUGUUCCUAAAAACCAAAUUCAACCCUUGAAAGGUCGAAUUAGGGCACCCUUGAAGAAUUGAGCUAGAUUUGUUCGACCAUUGAAGGGUUAAGGGUCAAACUAGUGAGUUCAUCAAUGGUCGAACUAGGUGUAAUUUGGUCAAUAAGAAAAAAAUUUAGCGGGAGCUGUUUAUAAAAUAGAAUAGUCUUGUUUAUAAAAUAGAAUAGUCUUGGGAUCAAUUUUUAAAUAGGAAAUGAUUUACCUUAUUGAUUGUCAAUAUUUACAACCUGGAUUAGAUAUAUAUCUGGAAAUAACUCCCACUACAUGUGCAAUAUCAAGUUUAAUACAAACCAUCGUACAUAACAAACUACCCACUACAAGAGGAUUUGAAACAUUCCUCACAUUGCGUUUAUCUACCUCAGUCAUUUGAGGGUAAUUUUGGACAACUUAAAAUGUGCAGCUAAUAGUGUAGGAACAAGUUUAUAGUCAAUUAUAUUAUAAUGCUCAACAAAUUUAGAAAUAUAUUCAAAUUGUCUUAACCAAAGCUUACCUAGUUUUUUAUUUUUGUGAAUGUGCAUUCACAAUAUCUUUUUGGCUAGUCCAAGAUUAUUGGUGGCAAAAUACUUGGAUGUAUCAAGCUUUAAAUGCUUGCUUUCUUUCAGAUUAUUGCUAACAAUAAGCAUAUCAUUAACAUAAAAUAAUAAAAUAGUAAAAAAAUCAUAUGUUGAACCCUUAAAAUAUACACAAUAGUCAAAUUCACAUUUAGUAUAGCCUUCACACAGCAUAAAACUAUCAAAUUUCUUAUACAAUUGCCUCAAUACUUUCUUCAAACCAUACAAUCCCUUUUUUUAAAUGGCAAACCAAUUUGGGUUUAGCUUUAUCCUUGAAACCUUUAAAUUAACAUAAAUUUCUUCUUCAAGAUUGCCAUACAAGAAAGCAGUUUUAAUAUCAAGUUGUUCUAUCUCCAAAUUCAAGUUAGCAACCAAAGAUAAAAUAUCUCUAAUAGAGCUAUGCUUCAGAAUAGGAGCAAAUAUUUCAUUAAAAUCAACACUUGAUUUUUCCCAUAGUGUUUCACUAGAAGUCUAGCUUUAUAUUGCAUAAGACCAUUCGUUUUUUAGCAUUAGCGCAAUAAAUAGGCUUCUAAACAAACACGUUUACCACCAUAAUGUAAGGAAAGAGCAUACCUUUGUGUAGGCUUGUGAGGGCAUAUAGAUCUUCUCAAUUCUUACACAAGUGUACCCAGUAGGCCUUCAUCAUUUUCAAUCAAUUCAUUGUCUUCCUCACAAGUAACAUCACAUCUAUUAACAUUAUCCUGAGCUUGAGCCUGAGUUUAUUGCAUUUGUUGAGGUAAUAUAAUGGAUCUCGAGCUUACAUAUUUACAACAAGUCUUUAUUGUUUUGGCUCUCAUUUGCUUCUUUUCAUUAGACAUCACUUCUCAUUAAAGAGAAUAUCCAUAUUUUUUUUUUGCAAUAGGAUCUCCUCUAUUAUCACCAUCAUACUCAAGAAAAACACAUUUUCUUGACUUGGCAUCCACCAUAGUUCUAUUUUCACUUGGUCCUUGAAUAUAAGCUUCACAACCGAAUGUUCUCAAGUGAACAUAUAAUACACUUUUAUCUCCUAAAGAAUUUAGGUAUUGCACCAUGGGUGCACUAAGAAAUCUAUUGAUCAAAUAUACAACUGUAUUAACAGCUUUAGCCAAAAUUUGCAUUCCAGGACCUGAUUGUGAAAGCAUGCUUUUUACACGUUCAAUAAUGAUCCUAUUCAUCCUCUCAAUAACAUUAUCAUGUUGUGGUGUUAUAGGAAUAGUCAUUGCUCUGCGAAUUCCAUUCUCUCUAAAAAAACAUCAAAAUCAUUUGAGCAAUAUUUACCAUUAUUAUCAGUUUGCAUACAUUUACUAAAUCUUUUGAUUUCUUUUUCAACCUCGUCGUUAAAAUUUUUAAAAAAUUUAAAACUUAACCUUUAGAUAUCAAAUGAUACAACCAACACUUUCUAAAAUAAUCAUCUAAAAAUAAUAAUAAUCACCUAAAAAGGUGAUAAAAUAAACUCCACUAAGAGAUCUCACAUCAACAAGGUCACAAACAUCAUAGUAUAUCAAUUCUAAGCUCUACUUUCUCUACAUGAUUUAUUUUUUUUUUAAAGCUAACUCUACAUUGCUUACCUAUGGCACAAUGAUCACAAAAAUCAAGAAAUAAAUGUUUACAAAUAGGCAUAAGAUUUUGAUUUUAUAAUAUCUUCAUAUCAUACUCACUGAGAUGACCUAACGGUUUUGCCAACUCUGCAUAUUAUCAUGCCUACUAGUUAUAACAAUGAUCUUCUCUACAACAUCAUUCAUUUGAGCCUACCAUGAAGAAUAUAAAGACUUCCAUCUUUUUGCCCUUAUAACAUUGUCAUGCCACCUCUUGAAAUAUUUAAUAACCCACUUCCAAAAGUCAUUAUGAAACUAUAAUCGUCCAAUUGCUCUGUUGAAAGGAGAUAUUCAUUCGAGUAAAAAAUAUGCCUCACAUUUAUCAAAGUAUAUUUCUUUCCAUCCGAUUUCUUAAUAACAACAAUUUCCAAUGCCCAAAAAUUUGCAAGCAUGCUCCAUUUAUGUAUGCUGAAAAAUAUGACAUUUCAGAGCAAAUAUGAAUAAGACACCAACAUUCAAAACCCAAGUAUCUUUAGUAGACAGUGUUGGCCAUGCAACACUAAAAGUGACAAUUUCUUCACCAUAAAAAAAACAGUACUUGCUUCGACAUGGUUACCAUUGCUCUUGACUUUUACGUAUUUUUCAUAGCAUAUAUAACCGGGUUUAUUGCAAUACCAACAAGUAGUCUUCUUUCCCUGUCACUUGGACGUGCCUCUGGCAUGAGAUUUACGCUUAUUAAAUUCAAAUGGUUGAUCUCUAUGUUGUGUUUUUUCUCCAUCUUUUGUUGUCACUGCUUGAUUCGAUUGAAUAGGCAUUGUAUAUAUGCUUUUUAGUUUCUUCAUUCAUCAAUUAAGCAAUAACAUCCUUCAAAUUAAACUUGUUACCCAUUGUAUUUGUCACAAUUAUAACUAAGGUAUCCUAGCUAGAAGGAAAAAAACUCAGCAAAAAGAAACAUAAUACUUCUUUAUCGAACAUGAUUUUUUAUGAUCUUAAUUAUGCAAAAAUAUAAUUACAUUUACUCACAUGCUUUCUAAUUGUGACACAUUCUUUCAUUUUUAAAAGAAGGGUGUGGUUUGUAUAGAGCCUAGGCUCUAAACAAUCAAAUUAGAGCCUACCUUCAUAUAGUGUUGAGAAAUGUGGUUUCAAUAUUGAAAAUUUUUGUGAUUGCCUUAAAAUAUAUUUUCAUAUUAGGGAUAUUCUAAACUUUACUACCCUUCAAAUUACAAAGGUUCAAGAUAGAGAAAGUUGUGAAGGGUGGAUUUAUUAAUUUUGUAGUAUAUUCUUUUAAAAAAGUUACUUUUGUGGGGCAAUUUUGUAAAUAUUAUUACAAGAUAAAGGGUACUUUUGUCAUCUCCAUAAGGUGUAAAAUUGAAAUUUUAACUAAAGGACAAGAGCACUUUAUAAAUACAGUUCCAAAGACAUUAACUUCCAAAAUGCCAUUGUAUUUUUGUCAAAUUUUCAAAUUUUCCCUUGCUAAUGAUAAAGUUAUCUAUUUAAAUAAUUUUUUAAUAAAAAAAUAAUGAUUGUUUUAAUAAAUACAUCCAUCACAACCUCUUAUAACUCGAGCCUUUGUAUUUUGAGGGGUUGUUAACUCUAGACAAACCCUUAUUUAUAAAGUUUAAAGCUUCAAAAGUAGUGUAGAUCGACAUAUCUAUGAAAACUUUAAAAUCUUGACAAUUGAUAGUCUAAAAAUGUGUUACAAAAUGCACUAUUUUCAAAACUUGGAAUCCAUUUUUUUCUCAUGUCCAUACAUCUUGAUGUCGAGAUGAUCAAUUUAAAGAUAUUUGAGCAUCAAAAGAAUUUAUUCUAGUGAAAUUUUUUAGGUAGGCUCAAAUUUGAUUGUUUAGAGCUUCGGCUUUAUAUAAACUUUUCCCUUAAAAGAAAUAACUUCUACAUUGCAUGCAUUUUAUUUGCACUAAAGGGUUGUUCAAACGAUUGUUCCAAAUAUUGUAAAAGUUCUGUAGAUAUUUUACAUUAACAAACAUCAAAUAAAAUUAAGAGUAAAAUAUAUAAAAAAAUAUAAAAGGAGACCAUUUAUCUUUUGUACGCAGUGGUCAUAAUUAAUUAAGAAAAAAUAUAAAAUGAGAUCAUUUAUCUUUGAUACAAGAUGAUUACAAUUAAUUUUGACUAUUUGAUAUGAAAUUAGGUUGCUGGAUUUAUUCUAUUGACCAAGCACAAACUUCGAAAGAAAUUUUCUCAAACUUUGUGAUGCACCCAAGUUAUCAGAUUUUACAUCAAAUGGUUGUAAGUAAUUCUGACUUUGUCUCUAAGGUAAAUGGUCUUAUUGUAUACAAUCCCCAUUAAUUAAUUUUGACUUUUGAAUAUGAAAUUGUCUUGUUGCAUUUAUUCUAUAGCAAAAGUAAGGAUGCAACCUUAUAACGUAGAACUAUGGAUGCCCCUCAAAAAUCCAUCAGAAAAGGUAGUUUCAAUGUUGAAAAACACUUUGAUUGAUCAUCUUGACAUCGAGAUGUAUGACUAUGAAAAAUAAAAAUAUUUUAAGCCUCAGAAAUAGUACAUUUUACAACAUAUUAUUUACGUCGUCCAUUUUCAAGAUUUUCAUAUGUUUAUGGAUCUACUUGAUUUUAACUAUUUUUAAAUUUAAAAUUUUAUAAUUAGAUAUAAAAAUAGAUUUUGAGAUAAUCCUAAAAACAUUUUCAUAUGUUUAUGGAUCUACUUGAUUUUAACUAUUUUUAAAUUUAAAAUUUUAUAAUUAGAUAUAAAAAUAAAUUUUAAGAUAAUCCUAAAAAUAUUUGACAUCAAUUAUAUACCAGGAUCAUAAUUAAAGGUGCACCUUACGUCUACACCUGCGGAUGCAAACUGCAUCUUUAUUCUAAUGACCAAACACAAACCUCAAAUGAAAUUUUUUUCAACUUUCUCGAACUUUAGAAGACACUGAAGCUGUCAACGACACCUUCAGUCUAUUGGCCAAACACAAAUUUCAAAUCAAACUUUUUGAACUUUUUCGAACUUUGUGAGUCUUUCAAGCCGUCAAAUUUCACAUUGGAUGGCUACGAGCAAUUGUGAAUAAAAGAAAAGAAAAGAGGUCAGUUUCGAAAAUUCAAUGGCAACGGCACUUCGCCUCAAAAUUUCUCCGCUCAGUUGGUGACAUCACGAACGAUAGCCAUGGCCGGAGCUCCUGUCCAAAUUCGAAAAAAAACUUAUUUUUUUUAUUAUUAUUAUUACCAUUAUUAUUAUUAUUAUUAUUAUUACUACUAUUAAUAUUAAUAUUAUUAUUAAUUUAGUAUUAGGUUCCUAAAUUUGUCAAGUUUGGAUGAACAUCGUCUAUUGAUUAUUUAGCUAAAAGAUAUCCAUUUUGCUACUUUUCUUAGUGAUUUAUUAGCAUUGUUCAUGAUAAUUUUAAGAACAAUUUCAUCGCUAUUUUUUAUUUUAUUUUCCAUAAGCAUUUUGUAUUUUAUCGUUUUGUCGAAGAGGUUGUUAAUUCAUUAUUUUAUGAUAUACAAAGGUAUAGAAUUAAAUUUAAAAUUUUUAAUUAAUUUAAUUUACCUUUUUCGGGGGAAAUUUUACAGGCAACUGGUUAUCUGUUGAUUGAAAUUUUCACAUUUACACGCAAAUAAGUGAAUAACUGCGUUUCACACUACCAUAGAAACAUCAAGGUUAGCUUAUUUCAUGUUAUUUAUUUAUUUAUUUUGAGUGAUUUUCUCUUUGAUUUUUUGUUAUUGAAUUUAUAAAUUGUUUGAUUUCAGAGUUUUUUGUGUGGAUUUUUUAAAAAUUCGGUCUUUCGAAUUGGGUUUUCUCAGAAACAUAUGGAUGUCCGUAUGAUAUUGAGAUCAAGAUCUAUUGUGAAUUGGGGUUAUUAAGACCAUUUAAAAACCUAAAAUUUGAAGAUUGCUCUUUCUCAUGAAUUGGAAGUUUACCUAAACCAUAUGAAAAACCCAGUUUUUUUGAAAAUUAAAGUCUCUCCACUUGGAUUUUGUUUUUUCAUAACCAUUUGCAGAACAUAGGUUUUGGAAAUUAUUCUCUUGUGAAACAUGGAUUUCCUAUUACUUGAAAUAAAUUUAAUGAAUUUAUCAUGAAAGAAUCAUUUGAAAACCAUGAAUUUUUGGAAACUCAAGGUUCUUUUGAGUAAGCACUUGAUUUUUUAUUUUUAUUUUUUCAGUUAAAAACAAAGAAUUAGGAUUCUUAUAACCAAUGGAAAGCUAUGUAUUUUAGGAAUUUUUCUAAAAUGAGUUAUGGUUUCUGGAACCACUUGAUACCCAAGAUUUUGGCAAAAGUUCUCUUGAAAAUAAGAUUUGCUUUUGCUUUUUGAGAACCUUAAAGUAAGAAGGAGAGAGAUUUCUUCAUAUUUGAUGGACCUAAGAUGUUCAAUAUUCAUUUGCCUUGGAUAAGAUACCCUUCCUGUUUUUUAUUUUUUAUUUAUAUUUAAUUUUAUUUGGAAUUGACAUGUUUUUUUUGUACCAUUUAUCACAUCUCAGAGGUGUUAAAACAAUUAUAUUUCAGAAAACCACAGUCUAUUAUAUUCAGAAACAUUUACUUUGAAAUAUUAGAUAUUAUGUACCUCUCUUUUUUCUUGGGUAUUAUAUUGAUAACUUGCACUGUUUGGGUUUUAAGAGUUUUGAAACCCUAGAACUUGAAACUUGCCGAGCCUUGUGAAUCUAUUCCUGUGAUAUUUUUUCUUUGGCACAUUGUUUUGUGUUCUUUUUUUAUUUUUUAUAGAAUCUUUCUUGGAAUAUCUUCAGGUGCUUUAUAUAUACAUAUAACCUAUAGUUUCAUACUUUACUGGGCAUCCAGGGAAUUUAAAUGUGAAGUUAUAAUGUUUCAAAAUCAUUUGGAAAACCUUGAUAUGGGGGAAUUCAUUAAGAACCAGUUGAUAUGAAUAAAACAAUAUUCGCAUCUUUGUUUUAAUUUUGUUUGGGAAACUUAGUUGAUUACGCGUACAGUUGAUGUUGUCAUUUCAAAGAAUAUGCAACAUUGGAUCUUGUUAGGUUUCUAUUGUCGGUUUAGAGAACCAACUUGUUUGAAGUUUGAACAGAGGAACAGUAUCGGUGUUUUGUGCUUUAUACGUUAAUAUAUUGAUUAGUGGUAAUAGUGACCAUUGUCCGAUUUGGGAUAUCUCCGAAGGCCCACCUCGCAUAAAUAGUUGUUUUCUGCUUGUUUAUUCAAGUUCAAGUUAAAAUUAAACCUUAAUAAUUGGGUAGGUAAAAUAUUUGUAACCUUUUAGGUGGAAGUAAUCUGAUUGUUCUAUAAGUGACAUUAUGCAAAUUUGGGCAAGCUUGAUGACCUAGAAUUCUGAAUUGACUGUUUCUCUUUUUGUUUGAAGCUUUUGUCCUAAAGCUUGUUCUUUGUUUUGGUGCUUGUCCAUUUCCUGAGUGGAAUUUACAAUUUCUAUGCAAUUAGGCCCUAUUAGGUUUCUUGGAGUUCACGAUGUUUUUCUUGGAGUUCACGAUGUAUACGAUACUCAUCAAGGCCUCUUGUGGGUUUCAUAUGGCUGUGACAGCCUAUAAUUUGUCUUUCUUAUAAUUCUGGAUGCAGUUGGCUGGAAAUCUACCGCCCUCUACAUAUAAUAUUUGAUUUAUGCAUUGAUUUCUUUGUUUCUACAAUUCAUACAGGGUUUGUGCAACUUUGCUACAAGUCAUCCAUUCUCAUAGUCAUUGUAUCCCAAAACUCAGGAUUUUGUUAAUUUGCAGUUUUUAUGAAAUUCAGGUUUGUUGGAAGUUUAAGUCAUCCAGUCUCAUAGUCACUGUAUACAAAACCCAGGAUUUUGUUAAUGUGCAGUUUUUAUGCAAUUCAGGUUUGGUGGAAGUUUGGGUUUAAGGUUGAGCAAUAUUUGUGAUUUUUACUAGGUUUCUUGUGAAAUUUACUUGACUGAUGUGCCUUCAAAUCUCCCCAUUCGGAGAAAUAGGCCUAGUUUUACAUUUAUUAUUUCGUCAAAGUUAAAAUUUCUUAGGUUCCAGGAUUCAGGUGAUGCAUUAAGUAUUUUGUGGAAAGCAAGUUUUUUAUUUUUUAUUUUACAGAACUCCAGAACCUUGGAUUUGAUGAUUUGCAGCUCCUUUAUCGCUUUCAGGGUUUCUUCUAAAUGUUUGGGUGUACUAGGAUUUUAUGACUUCUCCAAUUGUUUAUCCAGUGUUUACACUGUAAGUGUGGUCUAUUUAAUAAAUCAUAUGUUGCAUUCUUUUUAUUAGGGGGUGAUUUUGGCCACAAUGGCAUCUUAUACAAUGGAAGAGUUUGUUGGAGAUAGUGUUCUGAAAGAUUUGCUUCCUACGCUGAUUGCUGAAGGAUGGGACAAUGUUCCCACACUGAAGAUGAUGAAUUCUAAAGAUAUGGAUUCCAUGAAAAUGUCCCAGAGACAAAAGGUUAUACGAAGCUCUUAUUAUGUUAUCCAUUUUUUUUAUUAUUUUCUAUGGAAAUAAUUGUUCUUUUUCUUGUUUAAUUUCACUGUUUGGAUGCUUUGAUAAAAACGUUCAUGAACAUGUCUUGUUGCAAUGAUUGCUCUAAUGUUUGUAAUUAUUGGGGUUUUUAUAUUCAAUUUCAGAGUAUGACUGGCCUUUUUAAUGAGUCAUUUGGAGUAUUAUUUUCAAGAAACAAUGAUUUUUCUCUCUUUUUUGGAUUUUGAGGUGCAUUUUCAAAUUGAUAGUAUUUCAGGAUCAGACAUCCCACUUCUCAUUUUGGAAAAACUUUUCAUGAAUUUGUAUUGAUUCCUUCUCCGUCUUUGUUCCCCCGCCCCCAUCCCCCUUCUUUAGGAUGCAUUGGAACUUAGGUCUUAUUUGCAUGAUCGUUUUUUAAUGCAAUAUGGGGAGAGGCUUGAAGCAUCAAGAGUGGCUCUUCCCGAGCUUCUUAAUUCUAGCACUACCGUACUCUCAUCUCAAUUUGGCAUGAAGCGAGGCCACAUUGCUCGAUUUAUUGAUAGGACACUUGCUUGUGGAAUUGCUAUGCCCCCUUCUUCUGCUCUCCCAUUGAGAAAAAGAACCACGUCUUCUCUCUCUAAAUAUGGUGAUGCUAGUGAAGCCAUGUCCAGUAAUUUUCCAAGAAGAAUGCAGAGUUUUGUUUCUAUGAACCAGGAUUUGAAGUCCCAAUAUACAGUUUCAGCUUCCUUUGGGGUCAAAGGGGAGCGUACUUUUAAAGGGAUCGUUGCUUUUGCACCUGCUGAGCCUAGGUGUUGUGGGCUUGUACGACCUCCUCCUGAACUUGAUAAUGUUGCUCCAUAUUCCAUGAUAGAGAGCAUUUCAAUUCAGAAACUGACCCCUGAGUAUAAGACGGG